ensembl:lncRNA
CAGGAAGGGCCCUCUUUUCCCCUCUGCUCCUGCUCCAGCGGCACAAUGUGAUUCACUGGCAAGGAAGGUCGCCAAUAAGGCAUCCGAUAAGAUAAGUCUUAUAAAAUAUAUAGGUUUAUGAUAAUUAAGACUGAACUAACAGAUGAGAAUCCUAGUCAUUGGCCAAGCAGCAUUGAACCUAAUACAAGUUUCUGUGUAUUCAUUUGGGCCUAACUCGGGCGGGCAGCUAGCAUAAAGUGCCCAUGUGGCGGUGGGGCUCAGGCAGCUUUUGGCAGAAAGAUUUAUCGUAACAUUGCCUGAUUGUUCAGUGCCAGAGGCACUGAGCAGGCUCAUGGGUAAACUUUGUCUGACCUGCUGUUGUCUUUCAUGACCCUCCAGGCCUAGUAGUAUAGUUUCUUAAAAGAAAUGCUAUUGAUGCUGCUUGAAAGAAACAAACGGAGUUAGAACAGAUUUAACCUGGGUUUGCUAGAAUAGAUCUGGUUUUACCAAGCAGGUAAGAGUUAAUUUACAAUUGUCACAUCAAAUUAUAGGCAUCUGAGGCUGGACUUGACUGUUUUUGCAGCAAUGUGCUCUGGUUGGAUGAGUAUUAUUCCUGACUUUGGGUUUUAGUUUCCUCCUAAACUGAAGGUGAUGCUCAUCCCAUGGACACAUGCAUUUAAAGACAGGUUAGGUGUGAUAUGGUGAGAAGGUUAAAAGUACCAAGUCUGGAAUCACCAUGAUCUGUACUCAGCUCCUCUAAACUCCCUUCCAUUUGCAAGGCGCACUAGCUCUCUAUGUAUUGGGAGGCCUUGCUGGCCAGAGGUUGCAGUCUACCAUAGCCCAGCAGCUUUCUCCAAAGCUCAGCAACAUGAGGACUCUCUCACUGUCCCCCAACCCACAGUGAGACUUUCUGCUCUUAUCUAGAAUGUCUCUGGGCCUGGAGGACUGACCUUAUCUGAAAGCUGUCUCUAAGCCUGGAUGUCUGGUGUAUCUCUAGGGUGACCCUUGGCAGUUUCCCGCUAGAAGCCUUUCCCCUUCUGCACAUAUAAUAACUAAGAUUUGUACUAGGGAUCUUGCUAUUGGACCCUGCUGCCAUGUAGGAAACUAUAUGUUAGGAGCAUGCCACUUGUCCCCAGUGUCCCCAAUUCUAUUUAAUCCCUACACUCUGGAAUAAAGCUGAUCUGAUUCACUGAAGUCAUCUCCCAGAGGGCUUUCUCUGUCAUACCCACAGCCAUCCAAACCCUGUCCCCCACUUCUGCUCGCUCCACCCUCUUGAACCAAUGCACCAAUGAUCCUGAGGAAGAAGCAGAGUCAUAGCAUGUGAAGUUGAGGAUCCUCAUCAAUUAAAAAUAACCACAAUAUACACUCCAGACCGUGGCUGAGAAAAAAAUCACAUCAAAUAAUCCAAAGGAAGACCUGCUACAUAACAAUACUCAUCAAACUUUCUUUGCUGUUUUUAUUUCUUAAGUACACAGAUUUGUGUGUACUUGCUUCUCCCUUCUAGAAACUUAGCUUCCUGAAGGGCAGGAACAAUGGCUGAACUGACAUCCUCACCCACCUAGUGGCACAGUCACACCCACAGCAUUGCUGCAAGGAUGGCCCAAUCAAGUCACAUGACUAAACAGCAUUCUACCUGCAGGUCAUUCUCCAUUUGUCCAAGAGCAGUCCCAACCAGGAGUUGUAUGAAGAAGCUGCCUCUAUGGAUGCUGCUGUAGAGAUUUCCCUGGAGUCUAACAGACCUCAGAGGUCAAUGCUGUUGUUACUGGCUUCAUGCUGUCUCCUGCUCAUCAGAUACCACCUGCCAAGGACAAAGCACUAGUCAAAGUGCUUGAUACUGCAUUAUGUCUGGAGAACCAAAAAACAACUCAUGGCAAUGAGAAAAAAAUCGAGAAGUUUAGAAAACAGGGAUAACUGCAUCCCAAGUACAUGGCCCUGCUCUCCUACCUCCCCUACUAUGUGUUCCCACUUACUUUGGCUCUGAGCUGGGUCUUCACCCACCCACAUAUACCAAAGCUACUAUUGCUAUUAAGCAUCCCCCUGAGAUCUGCAGGACUUUCAAUUCUAGAAAUAAUCUCAUACUCUUGGUAGUCAUCCUCAUUCCACCGACUGGAAGAUAAAACAAGCAGUUCAUGACUUGGUUGUUUAAUUGUAACAGCAUUAGGCACAAGCACCCGUUCAUAAGACAGAGGAGAGGCAGUGUUUGCUUAUUAAUAAUGUACCAGUUGUAAUUACUAGGCCAAG